AAAAUAAUAAUUUUAAAAUAAAAAAUUUAUUAGUUUCUGCUCAAUGAUUUUUUAAAUUGCUGUGGUAUUUUGACUAUACAAAGGUAUUGAAAUAAGAUUUUAAUUGAAUGCUAAGAGAAUGGAAGUCCAGAAAAAAACUUUUUUUAAAUUAAAAAUUGAAGUUUUUUUAAUUUGUGCAGAAACAAUUAUUUAUAUUAAAGACAAGAAGACCCUAUGAAUUUAUUAAAUUUUUAUUUAAUAUGUAAUUACUAUUAGAAAAAUUUUGGCUGGGGCGGCUAGAAAAUAUUAUGAACUUUUUAAAAAUAAAAUGAUCCAUUAUUAAUGAUUUUAUGUUAAAUACUCUAGGGA
rnacentral:rRNA from 1 species